CUACAAUAUUUAAAAGAAAUAAUGAAAAAUGUAGCACAUUGUAAAAACUUUUUCCAAUGCCAAAACACUUGAUAGCAGACUGAUAAGCAACAAGUGAAAUGGGCAACAUGUGCAUUUCGCUACAGACUGGUAGAAGCUUAAACUACUACUUACACUUGAUCCUGCUAGACUUCAGAAGAAUGCAGAACAAGGAGACUGGGUGGGUCCACUUUAGGGAGGGGGGUCCAGUUUUGGGCACUUUCCUCUAUAUAUAUAUGGCCCUCUUCCAAAAAAAAGUAAAGACCCCUUCUCUAUUCUUAAUUAUUUAUUACUUAAUUAUAGUGCUUCAUCCUAACACUAUAAUCACUAAAGCAUUAUUGAUCAUCUCUCUUGUCAGGAAGUAAUGAAUAACAAGACCAGAUGCUACAACUCAGUUCACUUGUCAACUUGAUGAAUGACUCAGAAGUUGAUAACAAAAAUGCCAAAUUGCCUAGCCAUGGACUAGGCUGAUUAUUUCCUCAUAUCAAUCUGGGAUAGGAAAAAUUCAAUCAUAAGCAUAAUUUUAACAUUUUAUUUUCAUACUUAUAUGUUUAACAAUUUAUCAGAUUCAAUGUUUAUUAAUUAAUAAUAACAUCAAUAAUAAUACAUUUCUUAAGCUUAGGUGUAAUACCUAAAAGCCAUACAUAACAUAUUGAUCUGUAAUUGAAGAACAGUAAAAUAGUAUACAAUGCAAGUGUUUGCUACUUUAAUGUAGAAGAAUGCAUAAUCAAAUGGGAUAUGUAAAUAUAACAUAAAGUUAAGAUAUAAAGAAAACAAAAGAUCAC
rnacentral:lncRNA from 1 species